GGAGUGUAAACGUCGUUAACGAACGUAUGAUGGCCACAGGUCCCUUGCUCAGCCACCACGCCUUCUGCGUUGGAACUUGGAAGCUUUCUUUUGAUAAGUCAAAUUCCCAGGAGGAAGGAAGAUUCCCGAAACCCGAAGAUCAUCUCCGAUGGCGAUGCUCUAGUCAUAUCUCCGAGAGAGAGAGAGAGAUUAGUUGUGGAGGAAAUAAAAGGCCAUGUCGGGAUCUCUGAUAAGACGCGUUGUUCCUUUUUUGGUUGCUCGUAUCCGGGAUAACCAUCGGAUGCUCAGCUUCUCCUCCGUCUCUGCUCUCAACGAAGCUUCUCCUUCUUCGGUAUCGUCUUCUUCCUCCCAUUCUGAAUCUCAUUCUCCCGACGCCGUUCACCUCUCCCAGAGUUGUAUCCAGAGAAUGAAGGAAUUACAAGAUAGUGAAUCGGAGAAGAAAAUGCUUCGGUUGGGUGUAGAAACAGGAGGGUGUUCGGGUUUUCAGUAUGUCUUCGAGCUUGAUAGCAAGACAAACUCAGAUGACAGAGUUUUUGAGAGGGAUGGCGUGAAGCUGGUUGUCGAUAAUGUUUCAUAUGAUUUCGUGAAAGGGGCAACCGUUGAUUACGUCGAGGAACUGAUCCGUUCAGCUUUUGUGGUUGCUGAAAACCCAAGUGCGGUUGGUGGAUGCAGUUGCAAGAGUUCUUUCAUGGUGAAACAGUGAGGCAUUCACCAGAUGAUUCAGCCUUAAGAGCAAAAGUGCAUAUCUCUACACAAGCCCCAGCUGAAGAAAUGGAGUGAUCUUUGCUUCAAAAGAUGGAUGUGGGUUGGGUACAGAUCGGGCAUCCGAGAUUUCCGAUGCACCUAACCGCGGUUCCACCCCAUCCGAUUGGAUUCUUCGACCUCGAUCGGUGGGGUCGGAACCAGACAUCAAUCCUCAAGCGCUGCCCUUUUCAGACACAUCUAUAAGAACAUGAAAUCCGAAAACCCAAAAAACUCAAUGAAGAAG